UGAGCUAUGAGGAUAUAAAUGUGACAAUGAUUUUAAAACCUGAUUACUUUAUACGCUAUUCUGAGCCAUGG